rnacentral:rRNA from 1 species
UGAGGAAUAUUGCACAAUGGACGAAAGUCUGAUGCAGCAACGCCGCGUGAGGGAUGAAGGUGCUCUGCAUUGUAAACCUCUGUAGUCGGGGAAAAAUGGUGGGUUACUACCCAUUUGAUGGUACCCGAAAAGUAAGGAUCGGCUAACUACGUGCCAGCAGCCGCGGUAAUACGUAGGAUCCAAGCGUUGUCCGGAUUUACUGGGUGUAAAGGGUGCGCAGGCGGACUGGUUAGUCAGGGGUGAAAUCCCGUUGCUCAACAACGGACCUGCCUUUGAUACUGCCAGUCUUGAAUUAGGGAGAGGUUCGUGGAAUUCCGAGUGUAGCAGUGAAAUGUGUAGAUAUUCGGAAGAACACCAGUGGCGAAGGCAGCGAACUGGCCCUAUAUUGACGCUCAGGCACGAAAGCAUGGGGAUCAAACAGGAUUAGAUACCCCGGUAGUCC